UUCGAACAAUCAAAUUCUUUUUAAUUUUCCAUGAACAAGUCACCGGUUAGUGUAACAACAUAUAGUAUUUCGCACUCUGAAAAUAAAUGAGAUGUAUUUUAAUUCUAAUGAAGUGUAUUUCUCGUGGUUCUUUAAACUAUAUUGAUGUACUUUAUGUAAAAAAAUGGUUAUUAUAAAAGUAGUGGCGCUUGAAAGGUAAAAUAAAAUUUAUACUCGUAAAAGACAAUACCUACUGUUUUAUAAUUUUUGAAUCGAAGAUUUAGUUUGGGAUGCAUUUCGAUUUUGAACUUGUGCAAUUGAUUGUAGGAAUCCGAAGAAAUUGUUGGCAAUGUGUUUUUGAGAAUUGUAUUUGAAGAGGAAAAAGAAAUGAGACAAGGUCAUUGAAAAAUUCAAUUAAGUGCAUACGAAAAAAAAACAGAAUAUUGAAUGCUACAGACCGAAAAAAUAAUCAUGCAGAGGUGGCAAAUUAUGAUUUUUAAUGAUGAUUAAAAAUUUAAAUGAGUACUCAUCCAACGAUAUAGACAUUCAAUGAGAAUUUCAAAAAAAUUCAAGCCGGACGUAUUAUGAAAAUCUUGUUUCAGGAAAUAUUCCGCCAAGGAAGUUGAAAACAUUUCAAGACACAGA